CUCUUUCCUCUGGCCGUCAGAGAAAACUCCAGCCGUGAUGUUUCCUUAUCUUAGUUUAGCUGUACAGGUUGUUCUUGUCUUCAGUACUAUUGCAGCGCACAGACAGGGGGAAGUAGUGAAGAAUUUGGCGCAAGUCGUUAUCUGCAACGAAGGCCGGGGAUACUGCCUUGAUGUUCAGUCCCGAUGUCCCUCGGGCCUCGUGUUCAACAACAACAACUGUCCGAACAAAACGAUGAACAAGUGCUGCACUCCGUUUGCAGGAAGAGGUGUGUGAGGAGCCCAGAUCAGCUGCAAGGACCUUCUUCCGUUGUCAAGAAGAAGAAUCCCUUCCAAUGAAUCAAUAAAUAUUAUUCAAUAUGCAACCA